GUGAAGUCAAAUAAAAUGGAGGGUAUAUGUUUGUGAUUCCAUAAGAUUUUGAAAUUCAACAAGGCUCCCUUUACUAUCUACAGCUUGGGUUGAGUGCUAGGGACAUGCCAAUCCUUCCCACAUCUCAGCCACAUGGGGUUUUGUUAGGUUAGAAACACCAAUCUACAUGAAUUAACACAUUGCCCACAUACCCCAACCUGGCCUUGGAACUGGGUCCUGCAGAUAAAGGAUGGCCUCAUUACUUUCAUAAAGAAUGUGACAGUGUCUUCGUCUGCCUCUGAAUGAACAGAAAUAGCGUAGAUACAUUAAUACAAAUUGACUAGUGAAGUCAAAUAAAAUGGAGGGUAUAUGUUUGUGAUUCCAUAAGAUUUUGAAAUUCAACAAGGCUCCCUUUACUAUCUACAGCUUGGGUUGAGUGCUAGGGACAUGCCAAUCCUUCCCACAUCUCAGCCACAUGGGGUUUUGUUAGGUUAGAAACACCAAUCUACAUGAAUUAACACAUUGCCCACAUACCCCAACCUGGCCUUGGAACUGGGUCCUGCAGAUAAAGGAUGGCCUCAUUACUUUCAUAAAGAAUGUGACAGUGUCUUCGUCUGCCUCUGAAUGAACAGAAAUAGCGUAGAUACAUUAAUACAAAUUGACUAGUGAAGUCAAAUAAAAUGGAGGGUAUAUGUUUGUGAUUCCAUAAGAUUUUGAAAUUCAACAAGGCUCCCUUUACUAUCUACAGCUUGGGUUGAGUGCUAGGGACAUGCCAAUCCUUCCCACAUCUCAGCCACAUGGGGUUUUGUUAGGUUAGAAACACCAAUCUACAUGAAUUAACACAUUGCCCACAUACCCCAACCUGGCCUUGGAACUGGGUCCUGCAGAUAAAGGAUGGCCUCACCCUGAACCCAGAUGCUUGAGCAAGAAACAUGGAUUUCGUCGCAGUCCACAAAUUCUCCGGUGGAGACCCGGGUCCUUUCAUGAUCAUCCGGCUUCUUAUGUUUGCAGCAGUGGACCCGUUUUGAUCAGUCAUGACUAUACCAGGGACCUGUACAAUAUCUGAAUAUGAAGCCUUCAAGUUUUGCUUCUGAUAAAUCCUUUCCAGGCUCUCUGCUGCUACAUCAUCCUCCUUAGUACUUAUCAUGACUUUGGGAGCUUCUUCAACAUCAUUCUUUAUUCUCUUGGCUUCAUUCGCUA
rnacentral:lncRNA from 1 species